rnacentral:sRNA from 1 species
AUGGCUGUCGUCAGCUCGUGUCGUGAGAUGUUGGGUUAAGUCCCGCAACGAGCGCAACCCCUGCCAUUAAUUGCCAUCAUUUAGUUGGGCACUUUAAUGGGACUGCCGGUGACAAACCGGAGGAAGGUGGGGAUGACGUCAAGUCCUCAUGGCCCUUAUGGCCAGGGCUUCACACGUAAUACAAUGGUCGGUACAGAGGGACGCCAACCCGCGAGGGGGAGCUAAUCCCAGAAAGCCGAUCGUAGUCCGGAUUGUUGUCUGCAACUCGACAGCAUGAAGUCGGAAUCGCUAGUAAUCGCGGAUCAGCAUGUCGCGGUGAAUACGUUCCCGGGCCUUGUACACACCGCCCGUCACACCAUGGGAGUGGGUUUUACCAGAAGUAGUUAGUCUAACCGUAAGGGGGGCGAUUACCACGGUAGGAUUCACGACUGGGGUGAAGUCGUAACAAGGUAGCCGUAUCGGAAGGUGCGGCUGGAUCACCUCCUUUCUAGAGAAAACCUGUCUAUAAGCAUUCACACUUAUCAGUUAUUUAAAUUAGCACAAAGAUAUAAUCAGCCCAUUUAGGGUCUGUAGCUCAGCUGGUUAGAGCACCGUCUUGAUAAGGCGGGGGUCGAUGGUUCGAGUCCAUCCAGACCCACCAGAUUAAUUCAAGUAUCACUAUUUGUUUAAUUAAAGGGGGAUUAGCUCAGCUGGGAGAGCACCUGCUUUGCAAGCAGGGGGUCGGCGGUUCGAUCCCGCCUGGCUCCACCAGGUGAUAAACGAUAGUGAUUUAGACCGCUAUCGUUUAUUUCCUGACGAAGUCGGGUCAGCGGACGCUCUUUAACAAUUUAGUAGUAGUGAUAUACGACGGUGAAGUCGAGCCUGUUUCAGGCGAGGCUUUACUGGGUAUACCAGCAUUUAUCAGUAGAUGUAUUCGAUAUAUCCCAAAGGGAUCAGUCUUUUUGGGGUUAUAUGAUCAAGCGACCAAGCGCGCAUGGUGGAUGCCUAGGUGGUAAGAGGCGACGAAGGACGUUGUAGCCUGCGAUAAGCCUCGGGGAGCCGGCAAACAGGCUUUGAUCCGAGGAUUUCCGAAUGGGGAAACCCGG